rnacentral:lncRNA from 1 species
CAGGAAGUUGUGCAGAACUUGCUGGACAUGGGCCUGGAGGCUUUCCCUUGAGACCAGGGCAAGCCAGACCAUCCUUUCACCCAGCACAGUGGGCCUUCCCCUCUGGGAGGAUCUUGAACUCAAGAGUAGAUCUUAGAAUGGACAGAUUUCUCCUCAUUUGCUGGAAAAAUCUAGUAAGCAGCUGGCCAACAGUGGAAACUGCUAUUUUAAAAGAUAACGAACUCCCCAUUGAUGGAGAUAUUCAAGCAGAACUGGCUGGCUGUCUUCCAGGGAUAUGGCAGAGCGAAGAUCAGACAUCAGGGAGAGUUUGCCUCCUCUGCCUUCCAAAGCCUCUUUACCUCUAUGGUUCUUAUGUGGGUAGAGCACUAACUCUAAGUGAUCACAGGCCCAGGGUUCAAGUCCUGGUUCCACACUUAGCCAGCUAGAUGACAUUGGGCAAGUCACUUAAUGUUUAACGACCGAUCAUUAUUUGAAACUAGCAGUAUUCAAAAGAAAUGUUUUAUAUAUAAUUUAAAAUUUUCUAGUAGUCAUCUUUAAAAAGUAACAAAUAAAAUGAAUUUUAAUAAUUUAUCUAAUCCAACACAUUCAAAGCGUUGUCAUUUCAACAUGUAAUCAAAUAUCAAAAUUAUAAAUGAGACGUGAUUAUAAUCUCAAUCUCUCUCUCGCUCUGGCUCUCACUAAAUUUUAAAAAUCUGUUGUAUGUCUUGUACUUCAGCACGUCCAGACCGAUCACCUUUCAGGAGCUCCACAGUCACAUGUAGCUAGUGACUGUCAUACUGACCAGGGCAGCUCUAAAUCCUCCAUCCUAGCUCUGCUUUGUGAUUCUGCUUUGUCACUGUAACUCUGAG